AACAUGGCUGCUAUCAGUCACGCGUGAGAGAUGGCUGUGUUGUGUGUUUGGUGAAAUUCACUGUAAUAACUAAUAAGUCCUUGUAAAAAAUCUUUAUUACGUUGAUGUUGGUUUGUAAGAAAUCUACAUUUAUAAAAUUACUUAUAGUUUAGAAAGCUGUUGUGUGUUUUAAUUCAGAUUUCCAUGGCAUGAAAACUACAACCAAAUAUGGCCGUUUUUGAUUGGUGAACUAUCUUUGGAAAAAGGAGUUCAUGGUCAGUUGGAGCUGUUUACGUUGUUGCUGUUUGGUGUCCAGUGGUUUUGCAGUCCCUUUCCAGUUGAGAGAUGCUCUGAAAUGGAGUUUGUGCAGACUUGCAGUUUAACAUCACACUUAAAUGUGUCAUUUGUCUAUGUUGGUGUCCAUGCAGUAUAUGCUUGUUGAACGGUUGGGUAAAAUAGUUCAUGCUGCCUGAUGGCUGUCGGUCUUAUUUUAUCGAUUGCAUUUUUUCGAUAUGUCGUCCCUUGCUACCUGUAUCGCCGUUUAGUUGAAUCGUUUGCUGCCGUUCCAUAGACUUGAUCCAUUGGUAACACUGACUCUGAGGAGAAGUUGCUGAAAUUCAAGACUCGUCAAUAAAUUAUGUAGAAGCUGUAGAUAAAUUUCAAGUGCAUAUCUGGGCUCCCUUCUUCAGUGGCCCCUUUUCCCUAUCUAACCACUAACCAACGCCCGCCGGUGGUCACUCACUCGCUGCGACAACCAGGAGGAAGGGAGAUGUUUGGUCGAACGGGGACUUGCAAGGCGCAUGAUUCGAUGAAAUCUGUUGGAGGGUCAUGAGUCUAAGCCGGAAGCCUAGUAUGAUGCAUUGCUCUCAUAAUAACUGCUCCUCAGCUCUCUUCGCUCUUUUUCCGGUUUCUCUUAACCACGGCCGGGUAAUCUCCCUGGUAGAGUCAGUCGGGCAGUGUCUCCCCCUGCUUGACUGGCUGCAGUUUGUACCGGACGGUUUGUUUAAUAAAUAAAACAAGUAAA